rnacentral:rRNA from 1 species
CGUAUGGAGCGCGAAGCUGAUCCGCCAUGCCGCGUGUGUGAAGAAGGUCUUCGGAUUGUAAAGCACUUUAAGUUGGGAGGAAGGGCAGUAAAUUAAUACUUUGCUGUUUUGACGUUACCGACAGAAUAAGCACCGGCUAACUCUGUGCCAGCAGCCGCGGUAAUACGAUCC